rnacentral:rRNA from 1 species
GACGGAGGAUGCAAGUGUUAUCCGGAAUCACUGGGCGUAAAGCGUCUGUAGGUGGUUUAGUAAGUCGACUGUUAAAUCUUGGGGCUCAACCUCAAAAUCGCAUUCGAAACUACUAGACUUGAGUAUAGUAGAGGUAAAGGGAAUUUCCAGUGGAGCGGUGAAAUGCGUAGAUAUUGGAAAGAACACCGAUGGCGAAGGCACUUUACUGGGCUAUUACUGACACUCAGAGACGAAAGCUAGGGUAGCAAAUGGGAUUAGAUACCCCAGUAGUCCUAGCCGUAAACAAUGGAUACUAGAUGUUGGACAGAUCGACCUGUGCAGUAUCAAAGCUAACGCGUUAAGUAUCCCGC